ensembl:lncRNA
AUGGGUCCCGACGGUGGUCGUGGGAGCGAAACUCAAAAACGAUGCAAAUUAGGGGUAAAGAAGACCCAGCCCCUUAAGGGGAAGCUGUGGUCAAAGUCUUCCUUCUCCGCCUCCCAGCCGCGUUCCCCACACUCCGGGUGCGAGCGACGGCGUCGCCUCUCUCUCUUCUCUCCGCUGCGCUUUCCUUCCAGGUCGCACCUGCCGACUGGAGGUGCCCUGGGAAGAUGGGAGCCUCUUCUCGGAGGAGCCCGCAGCCUCUCCGGCCGCCGGCGCCCCCUCUCUCCUGCUCCGGAGGAGCCCUCCUGGCGGUUCUGGUGCUGCUCGCGCUGCCGGCGGCCUGGGCCAUUACUUCUGAACUUUGUGCAUGAGGGUGUUUGGACAAGCAGUCCUCCUGAGCGUGCAGUUUUCACUAUAAACUGCCUUGCGUCUGGCUGGAUGCGCCCCACUCACAUCCCAAACCACCAAGUGCACUUAUUGAGCGCGUACAGAAAAUAAGCCCCACCGAGGCACUCGGGGUUAGAAGAGCCUGCGAAGCUUCAGAAUCCUCCGCGUCACUAGUUGCAGGUGGAAGUGUCACUAGUUGCAGGUGGAAAGGAAGUGUAGAGAUGUUGACACAGUGCCGUGUUUUGGUCAUGUGUUUAGUAGAAAAUAAAGCCUGUUGUAACUAAUUGGAAAUUUCGAGGUUGCAUCUUCCCCUCCUUCCUUCCCUUUUAAAUAAGUAAACCUUUUCUGUUUGAACCCUUCUCUUUUUAUUUUUGGCUUUCUGAGAAGUCCUCGUUGCUUGGACUUCUUGGUAAUAUCUCAGUUGAAAUGAGAGUCUUAAUUAUUCGUGCCCAGUCUCUUCUUGACAAGUGAGUUUGUUCUCUGCUGUCUCUAGACUUUUUGUGCAUUCCCAUUAGACAUUGUGCGUUCAUUGUGUGUUCAUUAUUUAUGCCUUCUAAGAGAGUAAAGAAAAAGGAAAACCCAAGUUUCUGCAACAGUUGUUAUUAACAGACAUUCUAAAGUAACCUGCCAGGUGAAGAUCCAACAAAGCCUUAAGUUUUAUUUCUAGAAGAGAAGCAAGUCAAGUAUAUUAAGCAAUCUAUGGCCAAUGCAUAGAAAUUUUUGUGCACCUGUUGAAUAUAUCUGGCCUUCUUCUUACUAGAAUGUUAAUUACAAAAAAAAAAAUAUUUACUAAGGUUAUCAUAAUAACCUGAAAAUGUGAAACAGAUUAAACCAAACCAUCUAGUAAUUUACUUGUCAAAGGAAUUUAGAUCAAGAAAACGGUAAUGGAAUGCUGACGGUGCACACAGCACUUUGGGCUUUAUGAGAGCUCUUUCUCCAGGGUGCAUUCAUGUGGAAGUUAUGUGGUGAGGUUUUAUGAGCUUUCCUUAAUUAAGAAGCCAGGGUUCUUUUUUUUUCAGCCUUUGCUACUUGCUAGCUGUAGUCCUGGGGCCCAGCAAGUCAAUCACAUCCCUGACUUUCAGUGUCCAUACAUAGAAAAUGAACAUAAUCAACAUCCUGCCAUAUGAGAGGACUAUUGUGAAAAUCAAAUGAGGUAGUGUAUGUGACAGUGUUUCAUAAUCUGAAAAGCCCCUGCAGAUCUGAGAAGCAUGAGUAGGAGCUUCUCUGAUGAAAGUCUAAAGGCCACAGCGUGACUCAAAAGGGGAACAUCUCAGCUUUGAUGAUUAGAGAAGGCUGAGUGCAAGGAAUGUGGCUUUAGCAGCAUUUAAGGAGUGAAUCCUAAGAUGGUUGUACACACGGAUUCAGAGGGUUGGUUACUUUACAUACAAAUGAGCACACGCAGCGUACCAACGCCCUGUGGAAUACAGGCCAGACUCUGGCGCCCUCCCCUGGUCCGUGGGGCAGAUCUCACUUUGUGGCCCUGCUGGGUAAAGCCGCAAGGUAGAAAGGACGGAAGUCCUGUUGGGUUUCUGUGAUUUGUCACCUAUUUCUGUUUACAUGUGCUCAGAUGAGCAGGUUUAUGGUUUAUAUUACCUCGUUCUAUCUAAUGUAACCUUUUUGAUCGUGCAAGUAACUUCAAAGAUUUUCCACAUAGAAACGAAAUGAAGAUGAUUCUAAAAGGCCAACUUAAGCAAACAAGAAAAUGGCAUACCAGACAAUCCCCUGUACAUGUGGACACGCGCAGAUGUGUGCACACACAGACACACGCAGCACACACACAUCCGAGCUCUUUGUUAGAGACACUAAGAGGAAGAAUCAUUGUCAGUCUAAUCACAAGUGACCACAAGUUGACAAAAUUAAGAAAGUAUCAAGACUACUUGAAACGGUAGCUUUUCAUCCAUUCUUGUGAACAGAGAAACUCAUUGUGACUAUUUGGUCCCUUUAGACAUUAACUAAUGAUCAUACUAAGUCAUCAUGAUUAGCAAAACAUUUAAAAUGUUCAUUUCUAUCAUAUAUUUUAAAAUUCCUAUUUAUGUAUAACAUGUAAUAUAUAUUUUAUAAAUAUAAAAUUAUUACAUAUACAUCUUUAAAUAUAUUUACUAUUUUAAUAUAUAAUAUGUAAUAUGGCUC